rnacentral:miRNA from 1 species
GGGCUCGUUCACUCGAAUUGGUU